ensembl:lncRNA
AUGGCCAAUAAGGCCAGAGGGGGUGUGGUAUAUGGCCAAUAAGGCCAGAGGGGGUGUGGUAUAUGGCCAAUAAGGCCAGAGGGGGUGUGGUAUAUGGCCAAUAUACCACGGCCUAGUGGUUAGAGCGUUGGGACAGAAACCGAAAGGUUGCGAAGAUCAAAUCCCCGAGCUGUCGUUCUGAACAAGGCAGUUAACCCACUGUUCCUAGGCCGUCAUUGUAAAUAAGAAUUUGUUCUUAUUAACUGACUUACCUAGUUAAAUAAAGGUUAAAUAAAUCAAAUAUUUUUUUUUUUAAAACCCACAAACCCCCGAGGAGCAUUAUUGCUAUUAUAAACUGGUUAACAACGUAAUGUUGUCAUACCCGUGGUAUAUGGUCUGAUAUACCGCGGCUAUCAGCCAAUCAGCAUCCAGGGCUCGAACCACCCAGUUUAUAUAUAUAUAUAUAUAUAUAUAUAUAUAUAAUGAGGGUAAUUCAUAUUGAAGGGAAGAGGUUGUGUGUUUGUCUGUUAUGGGGGUCAGUGGUAAUAACUAGAGAGGGUUGAUAUGAUUCUGUUAUGGGGGUCAGUGGUAAUAACUAGAGAGGGUUGAUAUGAUUCUGUUAUGGGGGUCAGUGGUAAUAAAUGUAAUCACCCUGUUCCUGGAGAGAUACCCUCCUGUAGGUUUUCAUUCCAACCCCAGUUGCAACUAACCCGAUUCAUUUUAUCAGCCAGCUAAUUUGUAGAAUCAGGUCCGCUAGAUUAGGGUUGGAGUUAAAACCUACAGGAGGGUAGCUCUCCAGGAACAGGGUUGGAGUUAAAACCUACAGGAGGGUAGCUCUCCAGGAACAGGGUUGGAGUUAAAACCUACAGGAGGGUAGCUCUCCAGGAACAGGGUUGGAGUUAAAACCUACAGGAGGGUAGCUCUCCAGGAACAGGGUUGGAGAUAAAAACCUACAGGAGGGUAGCUCUCCAGGAACAGGGUUGGAGAUAAAAACCUACAGGAGGGUAGCUCUCCAGGAACAGGGUUGGAGUUAAAACCUACAGGAGGGUAGCUCUCCAGGAACAGGGUUGGAGUUAAAACCUACAGGAGGGUAGGGGCCCAGGUUCUUGUUAAGUUUUAUUCUGACACCCUGUCCUAUUCCCUAUAUAGUGCAGUGUGCACUAUAUUUGACCAGAACCUCUGUAGGGAAUAGGGUGCCACAACAUUCUGUUUCCAUGGUGACGUGGAGCUCAGCUUGUCUCGUUGGAAGGCAACACACAUAAUGCCUUGUUUUUCUUUUUACAAGGUUACUUAAAAAACAUUUUUUUAAAGUUAAGCACUUGAGUUUCAUAUGGUAAUCGUAAAUAAAAACUAUUUCUACUUCCUGCAUUCAGAAAGAGAGUUUAAACAUGGCGAUAUCCAGAUGUUGUCAUUUUCAAUGUAAGGAAAUCACCUGUUUGGGUGUUCGUCCACCCUCUUCCCUAUGUAGUGCACUACUUUUGACCAGGGCCUAGUGGGUAAGCCAUAGGGCCUUGGUCAAAAAUAGUGCACUACAUAGGGAAGAGGGUGCCGUUUGGGAUGAACGCUGGGACAGGUGGGACUCCAUUGUUUAACAUAAAAGGGCUAUCGCUUCAUUGGUCCCUCUCAUGUAACCAAUGGCCUGAAGGAUGUUUUAUGUUUGUUUGUGACAAAAUUUUGUUUUUAAUUGUUCAUGAAUAGGUUCAUUCUUUCCCACCUGUCCUGUGGUUGGUUGGUUUCUAGAUUGAAUUAUUAAAUAUCUGUCUUUAAAAAAAAAAAAUCUCAUUUAUUUUUUCAUUUAGUGGAAUUCAACCACUUUUCCGUAAGUUGUGGUCUAUAUAGGGGCGGCAGGUAGCCUAGUGGUUAGAGUUGGGCCAGUAACCGAAAGGUUGCUAGAUUGAAUCCCCCGAGCUGACAAGGUAAAAAAUCGUCCGUUCUGCCCCUAAACAAGGCAGUUUAACCCACUGUUCCUAGGCUGUCAUUGUAACUAAGAAUGUGUUCUUAACUGACUUGCCUGGUUAAAUAUAAGGGAUGCCAUUUGGGACAAACUAAGUUGUAUACUGGAGAUGAUGAAUGAGGUUUAACAGUGGUGGAAUGUCCCCUUUAAUUAGACUGGUAGCACUACUUCUGGUGCACAACCAUUUUUGCUACACCCGCAAUAACAUCUGCUAAAUAUGUGUAUGUGACGAACCAAAUGUGAUUUGACUGUGAUUCCCUCUGAUGCGUUACCUGGGUUGUUCUGGUUUCUCCCCAAAAAAUGACGACUUAGCAAACAAACAAAUUAAUAAAAUACUUUAUUCUUUUCCUAAGAAUAUGAUGAAACUUUGUGUUUGUUCCAAAGAUUUUUUCCUACAGAUGAGAGAAUGUAUUUGUGUUUUAGGCCUAGAGAUGAGAUGAGAGAAUGUAUUUGUGUUUUAGGCCUAGAGAUGAAAUCACGCCUUUAGAUUCUAACACGAACACGCCAACAAUUUGACGGCGUUGUUUUUGAGCAAUGCCGUCAUAUCGCUGUGGGACUCUUAACACACACACACCAUUAGACUCUAACACACACACACACCAUUAGAUUCUAACACACACACACCAUUAGAUUCUAACACACACACACACCAUUAGAUUCUAACACACACACACCAUUAGAUUCUAACACACACACACACACCAUUAGACACACACACACCAUUAGAUUCUAACACAC